rnacentral:rRNA from 1 species
GACGAACGCUGGCGGCGUGCUUAACACAUGCAAGUCGAACGAAGAGCGAUGGAAGCUUGCUUCUAUCAAUCUUAGUGGCGCACGGGUGAGUAACGCGUAAUCAACCUGCCCUUCAGAGGGGGACAACAGUUGGAAACGACUGCUAAUACCGCAUACGAUCUAACCUCGGCAUCGAGGAUAGAUGAAAGGUGGCCUCUACAUGUAAGCUAUCACUGAAGGAGGGGAUUGCGUCUGAUUAGCUAGUUGGAGGGGUAACGACCCACCAAGGCGAUGAUCAGUAGCCGGUCUGAGAGGAUGAACGGCCACAUUGGGACUGAGACACGGCCCAGACUCCUACGGGAGGCAGCAGUGGGGAAUCUUCCGCAAUGGACGAAAGUCUGACGGAGCAACGCCGCGUGAGUGAUGACGGCCUUCGGGUUGUAAAGCUCUGUUAAUCGGGACGAAAGGCCUUCUUGCGAAUAGUUAGAAGGAUUGACGGUACCGGAAUAGAAAGCCACGGCUAACUACGUG